GACGAACGCUGGCGGCGUGCUUAACACAUGCAAGUCGAACGAAGUGGCGAACGGGUGAGUAACGCGUAAUCAACCUGCCCUUCAGAGGGGGACACCAGUUGGACACGACUGCUAAUACCGCAUACUGAAGGAGGGGAUUUCGUCUGAUUAGAUAGUUGGGGGGGUAACGGCCCACCAAGGCGAUGAUCAGGAGCCGGUCUGAGAGGAUGAACGGCCACAUUGGGACUGAGACACGGACCAGACUCCUACGGGAGGCAGCAGUGGGGAAUCGUCCGCAAUGGACGAAAGUCUGACGGAGCAACGCCGCGUGAGUGAUGACGGCCUUCGGGUUGUAAAGCUCUGUUAAUCGGGACGCGGUACCGGAAUAGAAAGCCACGGCUAACUACGUGCCAGCAGCCGCGGUAAAC
rnacentral:rRNA from 1 species